rnacentral:rRNA from 1 species
UACGUAGGAGACAAACGUUAUCCGGAGUUACUGGGCGUAAAGGGCGUGUAGGCGGUAGUGUAAGUCUGGCGUGAAAUUUUUCGGCUUAACCGGGAAAGGUCGUCGGAUACUGCACAACUAGAGGACGGUAGAGGCGUGUGGAAUUCCGGGUGUAGUGGUGAAAUGCGUAGAGAUCCGGAGGAACACCAGUGGCGAAGGCGACACGCUGGGCCGUACCUGACACUGAUGCGCGACAGCAUGGGGAGCAAACAGG